CAGCUUGCUGGGUGGAUUAGUGGCGAACGGGUGAGUAACACGUGAGUAACCUGCCCUUAACUCUGGGAUAAGCCUGGGAAACUGGGUCUAAUACCGGAUAGGAGCGUCCACCGCAUGGUGGGUGUUGGAAAGAUUUAUCGGUUUUGGAUGGACUCGCGGCCUAUCAGCUUGUUGGUGAGGUAAUGGCUCACCAAGGCGACGACGGGUAGCCGGCCUGAGAGGGUGACCGGCCACACUGGGACUGAGACACGGCCCAGACUCCUACGGGAGGCAGCAGUGGGAAUAUUGCACAAUGGGCGCAAGCCUGAUGCAGCGACGCCGCGUGAGGGAUGACGGCCUUCGGGUUGUAAACCUCUUUCAGUAGGGAAGAAGCGAAAGUGACGGUACCUGCAGAAGAAGCACCGGCUAACUACGUGCCAGCAGCCGCGGUAAUACGUAGGGUGCGAGCGUUAUCCGGAAUUAUUGGCGUAAAGAGCUCGUAGGCGGUUUGUCGCGUCUGUCGUGAAAGUCCGGGGCUUAACCCCGGAUCUGCGGUGGGUACGGGCAGACUAGAGUGCAGUAGGGGAGACUGGAAUUCCUGGUGUAGCGGUGGAAUGCGCAGAUAUCAGGAGGAACACCGAUGGCGAAGGCAGGUCUCUGGGCUGUAACUGACGCUGAGGAGCGAAAGCAUGGGGAGCGAACAGGAUUAGAUACCCUGGUAGUCCAUGCCGUAAACGUUGGGCACUAGGUGUGGGGACCAUUCCACGGUUUCCGCGCCGCAGCUAACGCAUUAAGUGCCCCGCCUGGGGAGUACGGCCGCAAGGCUAAAACUCAAAGGAAUUGACGGGGGCCCGCACAAAGCGGCGGAGCAUGCGGAUUAAUUCGAUGCAACGCGAAGAACCUUACCAAGGCUUGACAUGUUCUCGAUCGCCGUAGAGAUACGGUUUCCCCUUUGGGGCGGGUUCACAGGUGGUGCAUGGUUGUCGUCAGCUCGUGUCGUGAGAUGUUGGGUUAAGUCCCGCAACGAGCGCAACCCUCGUUCCAUGUUGCCAGCACGUAAUGGUGGGGACUCAUGGGAGACUGCCGGGGUCAACUCGGAGGAAGGUGAGGACGACGUCAAAUCAUCAUGCCCCUUAUGUCUUGGGCUUCACGCAUGCUACAAUGGCCGGUACAAUGGGUUGCGAUACUGUGAGGUGGAGCUAAUCCCAAAAAGCCGGUCUCAGUUCGGAUUGGGGUCUGCAACUCGACCCCAUGAAGUCGGAGUCGCUAGUAAUGCAGAUCAGCAACGCUGCGGUGAAUACGUUCCCGGGCCUUGUACACACCGCCCGUCAAGUCACGAAAGUUGGUAACACCCGAAGCCGGU
rnacentral:rRNA from 1 species